rnacentral:rRNA from 1 species
GACAGAGGAUGCAAGCGUUAUCCGGAAUGAUUGGGCGUAAAGCGUCUGUAGGUGGCUUUUAAGUCCGCCGUCAAAUCCCAGGGCUCAACCCUGGACAGGCGGUGGAAACUACCAAGCUGGAGUACGGUAGGGCAGAGGGAAUUCCGGUGGAGCGGUGAAAUGCGUAGAGAUCGGAAGAACACCAACGGCGAAAGCACUCUGCUGGGCCGACACUGACACUGAGAGACGAAAGCUAGGGAGCGAAUGGG